AUUGAACGCUGGCGGCAGGCCUAACACAUGCAAGUCGAGCGGAGCGGCGGACGGGUGAGUAAUGACUAGGAAUCUGCCUGGUAGUGGGGGAUACCGUCCGGGGACGGGCGCUAAUACCGCAUACUAGCAGGUGAGCCUAGGUCGUCGUGGCUGGUUGGUGGGGUAAAGGCCUACCAAGGCGACGAUCCGUAACUGGCCUGAGAGGAUGAUCAGUCACACUGGAACUGAGACACGGUCCAGACUCCUACGGGAGGCAGCAGUGGGGAAUAUUGGACAAUGGGCGAAAGCCUGACCCAGCAAUGCCGCGUGUGUGAAGAAGGUCUUCGGAUUGUAAAGCACUUUUAGUUGGGAGGCGUUACCAACAGAAUAAGCACCGGCUAACUUCGUGCCAGCAGCCGCGGUAAUUC
rnacentral:rRNA from 1 species